UCUUGCAGUUGUGGCAAUCAUGUCGAAUCUACCGUUAACGAAAGGAGCCCAAGUAAAGUUGAUUAGCUAGCUCAAUCUCAAGUAUAACGUGGUGUAGCUAGCUAGGUCACUAUAAGGAUUCUAAUAACUCUGGACAGCUAGGAAGUCUCUGGAAAUAACUGUGAAGUUAAGUUAACAUAGUAACAAAUAAAUUACAGAGAGAGAGAAAGUUAGCAACGCCUUUGAAAUUAAACAUCCCCGGCUGUUAGUUGGCGUUGUUAGUUAUUGUUACCUAGCUGUGAUAACCGCUAACUAUGCUACCGCUCGUUUUUUUGGGAAUAAGGAUUUUGAGCACUUCACCGUUAAAAGGAAACAUGGAUGUAAGAGAACUGCAAAAUAUCUGCAUCUUCAACUAACGGUACCUGUCGAAGCAACAGAAAUCUGUCUGCAGGGGAAGUAGGUUGACCAGAGGAGAGUGAGGCUGCAUGGUUAGUGCUCGCUAGACAAGAAGAGUAGGUGGACGCUCGAUAAACUGAGUUGAGGUCACCAUCAAUCUCUCACCCAAAGGGAGUGAUGCUUAGGAGUCCUCUGGCUGAGGAUGAUGAAUGGAGGCUACUGGAGGAGAGGAAGCUGCUAUAAUAUUUGGCAUUGUGUAGUGCGCUCUGUAACUCCAUGUUGGUUGGAGACAAGUUUCAGUAUAUUCACAAGCCAGCGGGCACAGCUAUGAAAUCCUCAAUGUCUGCUCUGCUGAUGGUAUUUCAUGUUGAAGUGUUUAAGUACAUUAAGGCAUAGCAGGAAUAAACUAACUACGUUACAAAACUGUCAUGUUUUUGGUGCACAUGUAAAAUAAAAUUAUGUAUGUAUUCUG